rnacentral:rRNA from 1 species
UACGGAGGAUGCGAGCGUUAUCCGGAUUUAUUGGGUUUAAAGGGUGCGCAGGCGGCACGGCAAGCCGGCGGUCAAAUCGCGGGGCUCAACCCCGCCCAGCCGUCGGAACUGCCGGGCUAGAGUGGGCGAGAAGUGCGUGGAAUGCGUGGUGUAGCGGUGAAAUGCAUAGAUAUCACGCAGAACUCCGAUUGCGAAGGCAGCGCACCGGCGCCCUACUGACGCUCAGGCACGAAAGCGUGGGUAUCGAACAGG